UUUCCGUCCAGUCUCUGAAGCAUCAUUUACCGCUAACGGCCCCUUUAAGAAAGCAGCGCCGAACACUGACGAAAUCUCCUCGGCCCAGCUCCCUGCCAGUUUCUGCGAGAUCAACAAGACGAAGGCAAGCUUAGCUAAUGUUAGUAUCUGCAAGCUCCGGGCGAACGGUGCUAGUCAGGGCAGCUCUCUCCAGUACAGACAGGAGGGAGACGCAACUGGUAUCUUUUUCUCAGUGUUUGCCUAUCUAACCGCUCAACACUCAGCAGGAGACGGAAUUUAGCUAGUCGGUGGACAGACAAGCGGAUAUUGUUGAGGAUGGAUGGACCAAGUGAGCGGUUUUCGCCGUCGUGAGACUGGCGCUAAUUUGGACGUCCUGAGCAGCAGGUGUACUGAAGGAUAAAGCAGACUAAAGGCAAUCUCAGUGUUCAUGAAACUUUGCUACGAUUUACGUGCUGGGGUUGCCGUCAGCCAUGUUAAGGUAAAGCCCAGGUGCGCGGUGUUGACCAUGCUAAAGCGCCUGGACAAAAUCCGCUUCCGAGGCCCCAGGACGAGAGACGACUUUACGGAUCUGGCCGAGUCGCCGCCUGCCUCCGACAACGAAUGUAGCGACGACAUGCAGCUGAAGCCCAGAACAGCUCUGCGAGACACAGAGGAGCUCCUGCGAGACCCUGCAGGUUCGGGGUCUCCUACCAUGGCUGCGGCCAUCCAGGACUUCCAGAGGUCAGAGUCGGACCGACUCAAUGAAGUCAAAGGUCACCUGGAAAUUGCCUUAUUGGAGAAACAUUUCCUACAGGAGGAGCUGAGAAAGCUGCGGGAAGAGACCAAUGUGGACUCUCUGCGGCAGGAGCUGGAGAGAGAGCGAAGCAAGAGGAUAGACCUGGAGCAGAAGAUGAACGAGGUGCUCAAGACCAGGCUGGAGGACUCUCCACCACAGCCUCCCCGGAAACAGCAGUCCCCCUCAAACAAUGGAACAGCAGAUAAACAGCAGAAGGAGGUCUGGAGUUCACGGCUGCAGAAGUGGCUGUACGAGCGUUUCGGGGUUUACAUCGAAGACUUCCGCUUCCAGCCGGAGGAAAGCACCGUGGAGGCCGAGGAACCACUAAGUGCUAAAAGGUUAACAGAAAAUAUGAGGCGACUCAAGCGAGGAGCCAGACCUGUCACCAACUUCUUAAGGAACCUCUCCGCCUUAUCUAAUUGGCACUCCGUCUACACCUCAGCUAUUGCAUUCAUUAUCUACAUGAAUGCUGCUUGGCAUGGCUGGGCCAUUCCUAUGUUACUCUUCCUGGCUAUCCUGCGCUUGUCUUUAAAUUACCUCAUCGCCAGAGGUUGGAGGAUCCAGUGGAGCAUUGUGCCUGAGGUUUAUGAACCCAUGGAGCCUCCAAAGGAAGACUUGACAGUAUCUGAGAAGUUCCAGCUUGUACUUGAUGUUGCACAAAAAGCGCAGAACCUGUUUGGUAAAAUGUCGGAUGUUUUGGAGAAGAUAAAAAACCUGUUCAUGUGGGUGCAGCCGGAGAGCACCCGGAAACUUUAUAUCUGCCUGUGGGUGGCUUUCAUCACCUCCUGCGUCCUACCAUACAAACUUAUGGGCUUCAUGAUGGGCCUGUACGCCGGUAUUAAGUUCUUCAUCAUAGACUUCCUGUUCAAGAGCUGUCCGAAGCUGCGCGACAAGUACGACACACCCCACAUCGUGUGGAACAGCCUUCCCACAGACCCUCAGCUCAAAGAGAGGACCAACGCCACUGUGUCACGGCGGCUCUCUGGCAUUGAGAAGGUUCAGCCGGUGGUUUCCCGGAGCAGCCUCGCUACCAUCCCAUGUGGGGUGAGCAGGGAGGAGGAGACGGGUCGCUCCCACAGCACCAAGAAGGGAGCCUUUUAUGAGAUCUUCAACCUGCCGGAGCCAGAGCGCCCUCUGGCGGUUUGUGAGAACGGCUGGAGGUGUUGCCUAAUAAACAGAGACAGGAAGAUGCCCACAGACUACAUCAGGAACGGAAUGCUCUACGUCACAGAGAACUUGCCUGCUCGUUUUUCCUCAAGACCCCUUUCAGCGAGUUCUUUUCUCUCUCCUUCUCUACGUCAGUUACCUGUGCUUUGAGAGCUCCAGCUCCAGAUCCAACUCCUCCAAGAAGAAUAAAGUUAUCAAGCUGGUGGACAUCACUGACAUACAAAAGUACAAAGUGCUGUCAGUCCUACCAGGAAGUGGGAUGGGCAUCUCUAUAGCUACUCCUUCCACUCAGAAGCCAUUGGUGUUUGGCGCCAUGAUCCACAGAGACGAGGCUUUCGAGGCCAUCUUUACCCAAUACAUGAAGAUCUUGACCACUACCAAACCACCGACCAGCACAGAGCUCUAGGCAGUCUGUAUCCCAGCAACAGACCUCCAUACUGGGGCUGAAGUCUGGGGCAGAGAGCCUCCUGAGAUUCAUCUGGACUGGAAGAUACUUUAAAAAAAAAAACACCACACUCCUCUGCUCUGUGUGAGCCUCCUCCUCCUCCUCCUCUUGUGAUGGACGUCAGCUUCCUCAUCGAAGGUCAUCGGCCAGCUUUGAUUGGUAGAUUUCCUGUUUAGGCCAAGUUUGAGGGGACAUGUGGGUGUGUCGGCUACAUGUAGUUGAGAUUUACUUACAUCAUACUUUUUGUGGGUGUUGGACAAUGAACAAAAUCCGCUUACUGGUUCUGAGGAGGAGUGAGGAUCGAUUUGGUUUUUAUCAAUCAGCAGAAGGCUGGCGAGGGAGCUGGUUCUCCUCUCCCACCUGACUGACCAACUGACUGACUGACUGGUCUGACUGGUUUCCUGACGUACUUGUUUCUGUGUUUGCAUGUGUGUGUGGGUGUGUGAGCCGAAAUGAUGGUCUUAAAUUGCGUCAAGUGGCUCUAUUUUUCUCUUUUUUAGUGAGUCAGUGGAGGGACUUCUACUGUGGUAGGAAGAUUUCAAGAAGUGCUCAGCCUGGCUGUCAAAUGUAUAUCAUAAAACAACUACGUAGAUGAUAAACAAGAGGUUCUUUAAACUGCCAGACAUCUGUAGGAACAAUUAUGUAAAUUUUAGCUUUAUAAAUCAGUGCAAAAACAACCUUUGGAGUUUAAAUACUUAGACUUUUAACUGGCUGAUCGGUGUCUUGUGGCAUAGCCCAACAAAAUUAUAAAUGAGUGUACAUGUGUGAGUGACAUAUUUGUUUUUUUAAUGUGAAAAUGUCAGAUCACCAUUUGACUGACACAGAGCCUUUCUGUUAGUUUACAUUGCUGCUGUCUAAUUUCUUGAGUUUUCCUCUUCUUUCUAGACACAUUUGAGCAGUGACGGUAUGCUUCACUCUUCUUUGUCAACCUAAUGUAAUGUUCAGCAUCCGCUUCCUAAGUGUUUGUAAGUGUGUAUGUGAAACGUGUAGUGAUUUUCUUCUCUUGAAAAAUGCCUUUCUUUUGAAAAAUGUCUCUUUGUAACAAACAGCCUUUGGGAUGAGUAAGUGGUGGUCAAGGGGCUGCUGAGUGCAUCAUAGACGAGAGCACAACCACUGUUAGAGGGUUCAAACACUGACUGCCAUUUAGGGCCACGACACAGCGGAGAACAUAGCCCUCAUGUCUAAAGCUUUUUUUUUUUUCAAGGCAAAAUCUGUACAUAUAUAUAGAGAUUGUCUUUUCUUCCAUCAAUGGUAUUCUCCCCGCACUUUAUUAGAAUGUUAACUGGAAUUUCUGACAUUCACGUCGCAGACUAGACUUUAAAAUGCUCACUACUUUGGCUGGAUUCCAUGGUCAGUGUUGGCAAAUAGUCUCAAAGCUAUGGUAUUUCUGUCUCGUCUGACUACGUGAGUCAGCCCAGAUCACGACCUGCUGUUCUCAGUGCAGCACAAAUGCGGUCUGAGCACUUUGUAUUAACACCAGAUUGAUGUCGGCCACAGCGAGCCCGACAACCUUCAGACUGACCAUAAAAGAAGAAGGUACUUUGACUGGAAAAUGAAACCAUUGGCAGAUUACUUUCCACAAAGGCCCCCACACAUUAAAGCAUUGCUGUAUUUCAGCCUUUGAAUUAUAAAUCUAAACCAAGACCAGUGCAGAAAUAUCCAUUAAACAUCUCAUUCUGAUUGGGUGAUCUUACUUGCAUAAAUGCGCAGCCAGUCAAGCUGUUUGAGGUCACAUAAGCAGUAAUAUAAAUUCAUUUUUUUCAUCAUUCGGAAAACCAGGACUAUGAGCUAUACAAACAUGCCUAAUUACUCUCUUUUUGUUUGCUUAUUUUUUCACGUAUCUGUAAUGCCACAGUGAGUAGAGAUUGACAUUUGCGUGCUCUUCCACUCGUUCCAGAUCAUCCAAAUGUAAUCUUUUGUAAAACCGUAGAGACAGAAUACUUCAACGUCACUUUAUUUUAAAGACACCGUUCACAAGAAUAAAGCCGGUCUUUACUCUUGCAGAAUGAUACGCAAAAAUAUGAUGCCAAACUACAUCAGACACUUUGCUGUGUUUUGUGAGAGGAAUGGAGAUAUGAUCUGGGACUGGAGGUCAUGAUUUCGCUUCAGAUUGUAGUACGAGAAACAGAGUAGCUAUUCCUCCUAAGCAACGCCUAUUUACUGUACGCCCAGCAGCACAAGCUUUAGUUGCUAAUGUGUUAAUCUUACAGAACACUGUUAAGAAGGGAGACCUUGACAUUUAUAUUUCCUUUUAUUCUGGUCAUUUUUACACAUCGCACACUUCUUUUAUAGUUUCAGAUACUAAAUCACGCCUGUGUCACCGCUCCUCAAGAAAUCCAGAUUAUUUUCUCUUAGCUGCCCUUCAGACUUAAAAUGUCAAGGUUUCUUUCAAAAUCUAUACAAGUCCUCUUAUCAUCAUUACCAACUACAAUCAACUGAGCUGGAUAUGAAGUUGCCAGAGAAGCGAUGGACCAGUUCAAAGAACCACUUUAUUAUAUGUUAGUUCAGACUACUGUAAUUAAGGAUGGAGAUUUUUCUUUGACAUCCAUUUGUAUGAUUUGGCCUGUUGUUCAAUAGACUGCCUUCCCAGAAAUGGAUUUUCUAUUUUUGUUUUGGAAUAAAUUGGAUCCAUGAAAGGGGUAAACCUGUGGGAUGUUAGAGCAGGUGAAAAGUAAUUAACGCUGUCUCACUGUGUGAUUUGAUGGCUCGUUGUAGUCCUUAAAGCUUUUACCUGAAGCCUUUUGUAAUCUGUUAACUCUGAAAACCAGCUCUCUGGGGGUCUGGGAGACCCUAACAAGGCUGCACUCAGAGAAAGCACAGAAUGUAUCAUGUUCUAAAUGUCUAAAAAAA